UACGAGGGGGCGAGCGUUGUUCGGAAUUAUUGGGCGUGAAGGGUGCGUAGGCGGUUCCGCAAGUCCUGUGUGAAAUCUUCGGGCUCAACUCGAAGUCUGCACGGGAAACUGCGGGGCUUGAGUGUGGGAGAGGUGAGUGGAAUUCCCGGUGUAGCGGUGAAAUGCGUAGAUAUCGGAAGGAACACCAGUGGCGAAGGCGGCUACCUGGACAAAUACUGACGCUGAGGCGCGAAAGCGUGGGGAGCAAACAGG
rnacentral:rRNA from 1 species